ensembl:lncRNA
AUGGAGUCAGGCUAAUCCACUUAGGUGUCAGACAGACGUGAAUCUGAAUUGUGGCCCCCAGCUUGAGACCUUGGGCAGAUCACUUAUGAACUUUCCGGUUUCCCUCUGUUCAUGGGGAUGAGAGAGCUAAUUGUGAGGACUAAAAGAGAAACAUGUUUGCAGCACUUAGUAUGAUCCCCUGCUUGUUUUUGUUUUUGUUGAUGAGUCGCUCAGUUGUGUCUGACUCUUUGUAACCCCAUGAACUGCAGCACGCCAGGCUUCCCUGUCCUUCACUAUCUCCCAGAGUUUACUCAAACUCAUGUCUAUUGAGUCAGUGAUGCCAUCCAACCAUCUUAUCCUCCGUCACCCCCUUCUCCUCUUACCCUCAAUCUUUCCUAGCAUCAGGGUCUUUUCCAAUGAGUUGGCUCUUCACAUCGGGUGGCCAAAAUGUUGUAGCUUCAGCUUAAGCAUCAGUCCUUCCAAUGAAUAUUCAGGGUUGAUUUCCCUUAGGAUUGACUGGUUUGAUCUCCUUGCAGCCCAAGGAACUCUCAAGAGUCUUCUCCAACAACACAGUUUUUGUGCUUAGUCACUCAGUCUCGGACAUGACUGAGCAACUUCACUUUCACUUUUCACUUUCAUGCAUUGGAGAAGGAGAUGGCAACCUACUCCAGUGUUCUUGCCUGGAGAAUCCUAGGGACGGGGGAGCCGGGUGGGCGGCCGUCUAUGGGGUCGCACAGGGUCAGACACGACUAAAGCGACUAAGCAGCAGCAGCAGCAGCAGCAGCAGAACUGCCGUAGUGCCUGUGGGCCUAUCGUUUUGGAUAGGCUAAUGUAUCACAAUGAGGCUCAAGGUCUACUGGAAGUCGAAUCUUCUGCCCUCUUGGGCUAAUCACUUCUAACCAGUUUCUGUUGUAUCCUCAGGGGCUAUAUCAUUCCUUAAGGGUUGUGCCAUCCCCUCCCCCCUUCUGUUUCAAGGUGAGUCUGGGAUUUUCAAAUAUACUUGGCUUCCUUCAUUUAAUACUAUUUGAUUGACUUAGAAUGGUGAAGUGUGGACUUUUAUGGUUGGAAGGGAUAUUAGUCAGGGCUUAAUAGCUGUGGCCCUAGGAAUCCUGGGCUCUGCAGAGCUGCCUCAGAGUCAGGAAGGCCUGCAGGCAGGGUUCCAGGACUUGGUGGCUAAAACAAAUGUGAAAACCCCAUAGUCCAAUGCCUGGAUCCACUAUGAUGUUCUUUUAGUGUGAGGCUAAGGAAGAAUUCUAUAGCAGUAGAAUUCACUCUCUCUCUUUACUGGAGAAUUGACUGUCCUCUCAUGGCCAUCUGUGUCCAGCUUUUCUUUUUAUUUAUUUAUUUGUCUGUGCCAUGCAUCUGGCAGGGAUCUCAGUUCCCCGGCAAAGAAUUGAACCCACACCCUUGGCGGUGACAGAGAAGCCUGGUGUGCUGCAAAGGGUUGCAAAGAGUCAGACACAACUUAGCAAUUGAACAG